rnacentral:misc_RNA from 1 species
GAUGAAGAACGCAUCGAAAUGCGAUAAGUAAUGUGAAUUGCAGAAUUCAGUGAAUCAUCGAAUCUUUGAACGCACAUUGCGCCCGCCAGCACUCUGGCGGGCAUGCCUGUUCGAGCGUCAUUUCAACCAUCAAGCCCCCAGGGGCUUGUGCUGGGGCCCUGCGGCUGCCCGCAGGCCCUGAAAACCAGUGGCGGGCUCGCUAGUCACACCGAGCGCAGUAGCACAUCUCGCUCAGGGCGUGCGGCGGGCUCCUGCCGUGAAACCCCCCACUGUAACCCCAAAGGUUGACCUCGGAUCAGGUAGGAAUACCCGCUGAACUUAAGCAUAUCAAUAAGCGGAGGA